UGCCACAGCCAUAUCACCCUGCAACCCAAGACUGGUUGCCCACUGAAGCUAAGCAGGGUUGAGCCUGGUCAGUACCUGGAUAGGAGACUUGGAAGGUUGCUGUUGGAA
ensembl:rRNA 5S_rRNA 5S ribosomal RNA